rnacentral:rRNA from 1 species
CCUACGGGUGGCAGCAGUAGGGAAUAUUGCUCAAUGGGGGAAACCCUGAAGCAGCAACGCCGCGUGGAGGAUGAAGGUUUUCGGAUUGUAAACUCCUUUUGUUAGAGAAGAUAAUGACGGUAUCUAACGAAUAAGCACCGGCUAACUCCGUGCCAGCAGCCGCGGUAAUACGGAGGGUGCAAGCGUUACUCGGAAUCACUGGGCGUAAAGGGCGCGUAGGCGGGAUAGCAAGUCAGAUGUGAAAUCCUAUGGCUUAACCAUAGAACUGCAUUUGAAACUGUUAUGCUAGAGUAUGGGAGAGGUAGGUGGAAUUCUUGGUGUAGGGGUAAAAUCCGUAGAGAUCAAGAGGAAUACUCAUUGCGAAGGCGACCUGCUGGAACAUAACUGACGCUGAUGCGCGAAAGCGUGGGGAGCAAACAGGAUUAGAUACCCGAGUAGUC